rnacentral:rRNA from 1 species
UACAGAGGUCUCAAGCGUUGUUCGGAUUCAUUGGGCGUAAAGGGUGCGUAGGCGGCGCGGUAAGUCGGGUGUGAAAUCGUUGGAGCUUAACUCCGAAACUGCAUUCGAUACUGCCGUGCUUGAGGACUGGAGAGGAGACUGGAAUUUACGGUGUAGCGGUGAAAUGCGUAGAUAUCGUAAGGAAGACCAGUGGCGAAGGCGGGU